AAUAAGAAAAGAAUUGGUUCUUCAUGAACAGGUACUCUUCAAUGAUACAAUAUACCACAACAUUCAUUAUGGCCGUCUUUCAGCAACAAAAGAAGAGGUGUAUGAAGCUGCUCGACGUGCAGCAAUACAUGAUACUAUCAUGAACUUUCCCGACAGAUAUUCUACUGAAGUGGGGGAACGGGGGCUCAAGUUAAGUGGUGGGGAGAAGCAGCGUGUGGCACUGGCUCGUGCAUUCUUGAAAGCACCUCCAAUUCUGUUAUGUGAUGAAGCUACAAGUGCACUAGAUAGCACCACAGAAGCGGAAAUAUUUAGUGCAUUGAAGUCCUUGGCAACCAACC